GAUGAACGCUGGCGGCGUGCCUAAUACAUGCAAGUCGAGCGAACAGACGAGGAGCUUGCUCCUCGGACGUUAGCGGCGGACGGGAGAGUAACACGUGGAUAACCUACCUAUAAGACUGGGAUAACUUCGGGAAACCGGAGCUAAUACCGGAUAAUAUAUUGCACCGCAUGGUUCAAUAGUGAAAGACGGUUUUGCUGUCACUUAUAGAUGGAUCCGCGCCGCAUUAGCUAGUUGGUACGGUAAAGGCUUACCAAGGCGACGAUGCGUAGCCGACCUGAGAGGGGGAGCGGCAAUACGCGAGCUGGCACACAGACUGGACUCGAGCGGGGGGCAGCAGUGGGGAGUCUGCCGACAUGGGCGAAAGCAGGACGAUGCGACGCCGCGUGAGUGAUGAACGUCUUCGGAGCGAAAAACGCCGUCAUUAGGGAAGAACAAAUGUGUAAGUAACUAUGCAGGUCUAGACGAUACGGAAUCAGAAAGCCACGGAUAACUGCG
rnacentral:rRNA from 1 species